UUUAUGCAAACUUUUAUGAUCCCGGGAACUGUUUUCAUGUAACUGCUUGCGGGGUCCCUUUUUGGGGUAUUAUUAAGAGGUGUAACUCUUGUCGUCUUUGCCGCUACUGCUGGUGUAUCUUCCUGUUCCUUUUUAUCUAAGUUGAUUGGGCGCCCCCUUAUCUCGUCUCUGUGGCCCGAUAAAUUGGUUUUCUUCCAAGACCAGGUGGCUAAAAGGCGAGAAGGGUUGUUGAAUUACAUGCUUUUUUUUAACCAAGUGUUGGAAGCUGCUGAACAAAAAGAAUCAACAAACUUUUAAAGUCCAGAUUCGAACUUGGAUGUCUUGCAAACAUAUGGAAGCGCCGAACCAAUUGAUCCGGAAUGGGAUUAAUCACAAACCACAAUUGGUCAUGUGGAUGGAAAUGGUGACCUAGCUCACAGUAUGGUUGAGAACUGAUUUAGAAUGCAUUGGUGCAUCCAUCACAUGGUCCUAUCCAUUCAUCUCGGUAGUCCAUGAGGAUUGAGGACGCAUGAUGACUCAAGAUUUUAUGCUUUUUAUUUCUUUAAUUGCUUUUAAUUUCUUUGUUAAAUGUUAAGACUUUAUGUUAGAUAAUGUUAUAACUUAUUUAUGGUUAGUGUUUUUGUUAUGAACAUGCUUAUUUGAAAUAUAAUGAAGUUUUAUUUCUU
rnacentral:lncRNA from 1 species